rnacentral:piRNA from 1 species
UGCUCUCCAAAAUGGAUGGAUGGUAC